AAGUCGUAACAAGGUUUCCGUAGGUGAACCUGCGGAAGGAUCAUUAACACGUAUCCAACGUUAAACCCCCCUGUGAACCUUCAGAAGUCCGUUCUCGUAACACCAGUGCGCCUCAGCAAUCCCGGUAAAUCAUUGUCGACCAGUAUUGAUUCGGGACCUCUGUGACAUGGCUUCCAGUGAAUGAAAGUGUCACCGGAUAACGCCUCACGAUUGCUGGGUCGACCACCGGCCAGCUUCCAUGUCAUAGGGUCCUUUGAGAUCCCUUCGAAACCCCACUACUUUAUAGUUCGGGCUUGCUAAAUACACGCCCAAAAAAACGAACAACUGUUAACAAUGGAUAUCUUGGUUCUC
rnacentral:misc_RNA from 1 species